rnacentral:rRNA from 1 species
UACGAGUGCCCCAAGCGUUAUCCGGAAUCAUUGGGCGUAAAGGGUGUGUAGGUGGUUGUGUUAGUCUUCUGUCAAAAUUCCGGGCUCAACCCGGAACCUGCAGGGGAAACGGCACGACUCGAGGAUGCGAGAGGUGAAUGGAACUCAUGGAGUAGGGGUGAAAUCCGUUGAUAUCAUGGGGAACACCGAAAGCGAAGGCAAUUCACUGGCGCAAUCCUGACACUGAGACACGAAAGCGUGGGUAGCGAACGGG